AUUGAACGCUGGCGGCAGGCCUAACACAUGCAAGUCGAACGGGGAGUUAUUUAUAACUCCUAGUGGCGAACGGGUGAGUAACGCGUAGACAACCUGCCUCUAAAUUGGGGACAACACCGCGAAAGUGGUGCUAAUACCGAAUGUGGUAUCUUGGUCGCAUGACUAGGAUAAGAAAGGUGGCCUCUGAAUAUGCUGCCGAUUAGAGAUGGGUCUGCGUCUGAUUAGCUAGUUGGUGAGGUAAUGGCUCACCAAGGCGACGAUCAGUAGCCGGUCUGAGAGGACGAACGGCCACACUGGGACUGAGACACGGCCCAGACUCCUACGGGAGGCAGCAGUGGGGAAUCUUCCGCAAUGGACGAAAGUCUGACGGAGCAACGCCGCGUGAGUGAAGAAGGUCUUCGGAUUGUAAAGCUCUGUCGUUUGGGACGAACGUAUCUUGUGUGAAUAAUGCAGGGUAAUGACGGUACCAAAGGAGGAAGCCACGGCUAACUACGUGCCAGCAGCCGCCGUAA
rnacentral:rRNA from 1 species